rnacentral:rRNA from 1 species
UAUGGAGGGUGCAAGCGUUAUCCGGAUUCACUGGGUUUAAAGGGUGUGUAGGCGGGUAGUUAAGUCAGUGGUGAAAUCUCCAGGCUCAACCUGGAAACUGCCAUUGAUACUAUCUAUCUUGAAUAUUGUUGAGGUAGGCGGAAUAAGUCAUGUAGCGGUGAAAUGCAUAGAUAUGACUUAGAACACCAAUUGCGAAGGCAGCUUACUAAACAGUUAUUGACGCUGAGGCACGAAAAGCGUGGGGGAUCAAACAGG